rnacentral:rRNA from 1 species
GACGAACGCUGGCGGCGUGCUUAACACAUGCAAGUCGAACGAAGAGCGAUGGAAGCUUGCUUCUAUCAAUCUUAGUGGCGCACGGGUGAGUAACGCGUAAUCAACCUGCCCUUCAGAGGGGGACAACAGUUGGAAACGACUGCUAAUACCGCAUACGAUCUAAUCUCGGCAUCGAGGAUAGAUGAAAGGUGGCCUCUACAUGUAAGCUAUCACUGAAGGAGGGGAUUGCGUCUGAUUAGCUAGUUGGACGGGUAACGGCCCACCAAGGCGAUGAUCAGUAGCCGGUCUGAGAGGAUGAACGGCCACAUUGGGACUGAGACACGGCCCAGACUCCUACGGGAGGCAGCAGUGGGGAAUCUUCCGCAAUGGACGAAAGUCUGACGGAGCAACGCCGCGUGAGGGAUGACGGCCUUCGGGUUGUAAAGCUCUGUUAAUCGGGACGAAAGGCCUUCUUGCGAAUAGUGAGAAGGAUUGACGGUACCGGAAUAGAAAGCCACGGCUAACUACGUG